UGAGGAAUAUUGGUCAAUGGACGCAAGUCUGAACCAGCCAUGUCGCGUGCAGGAUGACUGCCCUAUGGGUUGUAAACUGCUUUUGUAUGGGAAGAAAGUGAGAUACGUGUAUCUCUUUGCCGGUACCAUACGAAUAAGGAUCGGCUAACUCCGUGCCAGCAGCCGCGGUAAUACGGAGGAUCCAAGCGUUAUCCGGAUUUAUUGGGUUUAAAGGGUGCGUAGGCGGUUUAAUAAGUCAGUGGUGAAAUCUUGCAGCUUAACUGUAAAAUUGCCAUUGAUACUGUUAGACUUGAGUAUAGUUGAGGUGGGCGGAAUGUGUUGUGUAGCGGUGAAAUGCAUAGAUAUAACACAGAACACCAAUUGCGAAGGCAGCUCACUAAGCUAUAACUGACGCUGAGGCACGAAAGCGUGGGUAGCGAACA
rnacentral:rRNA from 1 species